rnacentral:rRNA from 1 species
CAGCCGCCGCGGGAAUACAGAGGGUGCAAGCGUUAAUCGGAAUUACUGGGCGUAAAGCGCGCGUAGGUGGUUUGUUAAGUUGGAUGUUAAAGCCCCGGGCUCAACCUGGGAACUGCAUCCAAAACUGGCAAGCUAGAGUACGGUAGAGGGUGGUGGAAUUUCCUGUGUAGCGGUGAAAUGCGUAGAUAUAGGAAGGAACACCAGUGGCGAAGGCGACCACCUGGACUGAUACUGACACUGAGGUGCGAAAGCGUGGGGAGCAAACAGGAUUAGAUACCCCGGUAGUCCCUGUCUCUUAUAC